rnacentral:rRNA from 1 species
AGUGAACGCUGGCGGUAGGCCUAACACAUGCAAGUCGAACGGCAGCACAGUAAGGGCUUGCUCUUACGGGUGGCGAGUGGCGGGCGGGUGAGGAAUACAUCGGAAUCUACUUUUUCGUGGGGGAUAACGUAGGGAAACUUACGCUAAUACCGCAUACGACCUACGGGGGAAAGCAGGGGAUCUUCGGACCUUGCGCGAUUGAAUGAGCCGAUGUCGGAUUAGCUAGUUGGCGGGGUAAAGGCCCACCAAGGCGACGAUCCGUAGCUGGUCUGAGAGGAUGAUCAGCCACACUGGAACUGAGACACGGUCCAGACUCCUACGGGAGGCAGCAGUGGGGAAUAUUGGACAAUGGGCGCAAGCCUGAUCCAGCCAUACCGCGUGGGUGAAGAAGGCCUUCGGGUUGUAAAGCCCUUUUGUUGGGAAAGAAAAGCAGCAGGUUAAUACCCCGCUGUUCUGACGGUACCCAAAGAAUAAGCACCGGCUAACUUCGUG